AUCCCUUAUAAAUACUUGUUAAACAAGCUCUAAGUUUUAAAAGGAAUACUUUUCUAAUAAUCAAAAUUAGAAAAAUUGACGUAGCAAUAAUUAACAAAAUUUAACUUAGCAAGGAAAGGGUAACCUAAUCAAAGUGAAGAACAAGAUUAAAAGUAUGAAAAAAGUAAAAUGUUACCUUGUGGAAAUCUUACACAUCAUUAUCUCGGUCAGGCAGUUUCCUUAGGAAAAAUUCGCAAUCAAUAGGACAAAUUUUUGGAACUCAUCCUCAUUAAUCCGAAAAUCUACAAUUUUCUCUAAGUCCUCCCUGAGUCGAAAUGAAGCUCUUACUAUCCACAAUCGCAAUAUCAUCAUCUCCGCCGUUACCUGCGACUGCGGAAUGGGAGUGAGGCAGUUGCAGAGUAAUAAUAGACGUCGAAGUCUUUUUUAUUAUCGACUUCUUCCACCUCAUCCAUGUCAUAGUCAUCCUAGUCUCCCCCGUCGUCUGCCUAGGUCCUGAAGUCGGUUUGUAGAUUUCAAGGUCCGGUGGGGUUAAUGGGCCCUAGAAUGUUAGGGGUUAAUGGGCCACAUAAUGUUACUUUUAGGUUGGCAAGAUGAAUUGGUGUUGAGAGGUUGUCAAAAUUGAGGAAAUUCGUUGGAGGUGGUGAGAAGAUGAGGAGAGCAGCUGUGUUCAUGGUGGUGCCGGAAUGGAGUGGCGAUUUUACGGGAUUUUGGAUAUGAGAGGGAAAAUGGGAAAGAAGAGGAUUAGAGUUAGGGUUUUGCUAAGGAGGUACCGUUGGAUUCAGCUCGAGUAAAAAUGGUUAGAAUUUUGCUCUUUUUUUAAUAGCUACCUUCAUAGUUGCCUCUGCGCAGCUGCCUUAACAACUAAAUAAUUUGUUUUAUUAUUUUUAAUUUUAGGCUCAACUCAUUAUGGGGUGAAAAUGACCCGUGAUACGAUUAGCCAUACGGAUUGGCUCAUGCUCAAGCCAAUGCUCAAAAAAUCGGGUUCAGCUCGCGGUUCGACUUGGUUCUAUCGUGCGACGAGCUAGGUCGGCUCUAGCUUUUCAUGGAUCAAGUCACGGGCUGUAUCUAGCCGAUGAAUCAAAUUGACAUCCCUAGCUAUUUUGCACGCAAAGUUAAGUUCAUAGGUGUAUGCCAAAUUNAUGCGUUGAGGCUAAGCUAUGGGCAAUGCGAGGCUUAUGCGUAAAAUAGUAUAAAAAGGCGUUUUCUUAUUUUAAUAUUAUUUAAAUUUUUAAUAAAUCAAAAAAUUAUUUAAUAAUUAAAAAUAAUACUUACUAAACAUUUAAAACAGGAACGUUAUACAUUUUUUCAAAAAUUUCUAAUAAAAAGAUAAGUUUCAAAUUUAAAUACAAAAUAAUAAAUAAAUAGUAUAGGAAUUUAAAUCUUACCUAACUCUUUAUCAAACUCCAAUUCAAUAUCCUCUUCUUCAUCUAAUUCGUUCUUCGUGUCUUCCAAUACAAGUGGUUGUUUUAAAUUAGGGCAAAAUGAAGAAAUUAACCAUUGAUAAUUUUUUUACCACCACACAAUUUUAAAAAAAUAAAAAUAAAAAAGGUUGAUAAUGCGUGCUUGCCUAGGCGCACCUUGGCAGUCAACGAUUGCCGUUGACCACCAAAUAAGGCGCUAAGCCAUUUGACUUGGCGUUUUGGCCAAGCAUCAAGCUUUUUAGAACACUGCCAGUAUAUAACACAAAUACAUAUAAGUAAACAGAUUAACAUAGAACCAACCUUGAAAGCAAAAGAUACAACAAUGUAUGUACAUAUGUGUUGUUAACCAUACAUUACGAUCCACGUGAAAUCCCCAUAUUCAUACACAUGGCAUUGGGUCAAAAGAGUUAUAAAAAGGUUAACAGCCGAGGCUGUUGCAAUGAACGAUGAGGUUGUUUCACUAGAGUUAUCCGAAGUGGUCCUGGCCCUUACGUAUCCGAGGUGGGUCUACUUCUUUCCGUCGAACUCCACAACUCCCGAAGUCUUUGACGACUAGAAGAGAGUAUGAUAAACACACCUUUGGAAUUGAUUGAUGUGAUGCUCUCAUAAAAUAAGUGUCAGGGAUGUUAGCGUAGAAAUGUAGAGUGGUUGAUCCCUUUGUCAAAUGUCUAUCAAUGUAAUUAAUAUGACAUAGGAUUGAUGUGAUGCCAGGGUCUAAUAGAUCAGGCCACGUGAAUCAGACCUAACGGUUACCACUGGGGCCUGAACAUUAUAAAUAGCCAAUCUUGUAUCAUUUUUGAACAAAGAAGAGAACAUAAUACACUUACUCAUAUAUAGUUAACUAUUUCUACCUUCUUCUACAAAUACAUGCAUUUACAGUCAAUAUUCGGCUAAACACAUCCACGUGUACAUUAUCUUCAAACAACACCCGUUUACCAUUUUCAGGGUCAACAAUAUGUAUACUUAUAUAUAUAAAAAUUUAAAUCCCUUAUAAAUACUUGCCAAACAAGCUCUAAGUACUUUUCUAAUAAUCAAAAUUAGAAAAAUAUACGUAGCAAUAAUUAACAAAAUUUAACUUAGCAAGGAAAGGGUAACCUAAUCAAAGUGAAGAACAAGAUAAGUAUGAAAAGAGUAAAAUGUUACCUUGUGGAAAUCUUACACAUCAUUAUCUGGGUCAGGCAGUUUCCUUAGGAAAAAAUCGCAAUCAAGAAGACAAAUUUUUGGAACUCAUCCUCAUUAAUCCGAUAAUCUACAAUUUUCUCUAAGUCCUCCCUCAGUCGAAAUGAAGCUCUUACUAUCCACAAUCGCAAUAUCAUCAUCUCCGCCGUUACCUGCGACUGCGGAAUGGGAAUGAGGCAGUUGCAAAGUAAUAAUAGACGUCGAAGUCUUUUUUAUUAUCGACUUCUUCCACCUCAUCCAUGUCAUAGUCAUCCUAGUCUCCCCCGUCGUCUGCCUAGGUCCUGAAGUCGGUUUGUAGAUUUCAAGUUCCGGUGGGGUUAAUCCGUUAAUGGGCCCUAGAAUGUUAGGGGUUAAUGGGCCCCAGAAUGUUAACUUUUAGGUUGGCAAGAUGAAUUGGUGUUGAGAGGUUGUCAAAAUUGAGGGAAUUCGUUGGAGGUGGUGAGAAGAUGAGGAGAGCAGCGGUGUUCAUGGUGGUGCCGGAAAUGGAGUGGCGAUUUCACGGGAAUUUGGAUAUCAGAGGGAAAAUGGGAAAGAAGAGGAUUAGAGUUCGGGUUUUUUUAAGGCGAUACCGUCG
rnacentral:lncRNA from 1 species